rnacentral:tRNA from 1 species
GGAUGGUCGGCGACGAUGGAGUGUCGCACCGGGUUGUAACCCCGGCGCUUCGGCUUAGGGGGUUCGAAUCCCUCACUAUCCA